CCUGACUGCUAUCGGAUUGAUACUAAGCCAUGCGAGUCAUUGUAGCAAUACAAGGCAUACGGCUCAGUAACGCGUAGUCAACCUAACCUAUGGACGGGAAUAACCUCGGGAAACUGAGAAUAAUGCCCGAUAGAACACUAUACCUGGAAUGGUUUGUGUUCCAAAUGAUUUAUCGCCAUAGGAUGGGACUGCGGCCUAUCAGUUUGUUGGUGAGGUAAUGGCCCACCAAGACUAUUACAGGUACGGGCUCUGAGAGGAGUAGCCCGGAGAUGGGUACUGAGACACGGACCCAGGCCCUAUGGGGCGCAGCAGGCGAGAAAACUUUGCAAUGUGCGAAAGCACGACAAGGUUAAUCCGAGUGAUUUGUGCUAAACGAAUCUUUUGUUAGUCCUAGAAACACUAACGAAUAAGGGGUGGGCAAGUUCUGGUGUCAGCCGCCGCGGUAAAACCAGCACCUCAAGUGGUCAGGAUGAUUAUUGGGCCUAAAGCAUCCGUAGCCGGCUCUGUAAGUUUUCGGUUAAAUCUGUACGCUUAACGUACAGGCUGCCGGGAAUACUGCAGAGCUAGGGAGUGGGAGAGGUAGACGGUACUCGGUAGGAAGUGGUAAAAUGCUUUGAUCUAUCGAUGACCACCUGCGGCGAAGGCGGUCUACCAGAACACGUCCGACGGUGAGGGAUGAAAGCUGGGGGAGCAAACCGGAUUAGAUACCCGGGUAGUCCCAGCUGUAAACUAUGCAAACUCAGUGAUACAUUGGCUUGUGGCCAAUGCAGUGCUGCAGGGAAGCCGUUAAGUUUGCCGCCUGGGAAGUACGUACGCAAGUAUGAAACUUAAAGGAAUUGGCGGGGGAGCACCACAAGGGGUGAAGCCUGCGGUUC
rnacentral:rRNA from 1 species